rnacentral:rRNA from 1 species
UACGAAGGGUGCAAGCGUUACUCGGAAUUACUGGGCGUAAAGAGCUCGUAGGCGGUCUGUUGCGUCCGCUGUGAAAACUCGGGGCUUAACCCCGAGACUGCAGUGGAUACGGGCAGACUAGAGGUAGGUAGGGAGAAUGGAAUUCCGGUGUAGCGGUGAAAUGCGCAGAUAUCGGGAGGAACACCGGUGGCGAAGGCGGUCUCUGGGCCUACCUGACGCUGAGGAGCGAAAGCGUGGGAG